rnacentral:rRNA from 1 species
CUCAGGACGAACGCUGGCGGCGGGCCUAACACAUGCAAGUCGAAGGAGAAGGGUUGUGCUUGCACAACCUGGAGACUGGCGCACGGGUGAGUAACGCGUAGACAACCUGCCUAUAGCAAGGGGAUAACCACCGGAAACGGUGGCUAAUACCGUAUAAUGCAGCGGGGCCGCAUGGCCACAGUUGUUAAAGUUAAGGCGGCUAUAGAUGGGUCUGCGUGCCAUUAGUUAGUUGGUAGGGUAACGGCCUACCAAGGCGAUGAUGGCUAGGGGGUCUGAGAGGAUGAUCCCCCACACUGGAACUGAGACACGGUCCAGACUCCUACGGGAGGCAGCAGUGAGGAAUCUUGCGCAAUGGGCGAAAGCCUGACGCAGCCACGCCGCGUGCCGGAAGACGGCCCUAUGGGUUGUAAACGGCUUUUGGUUGGGAAGAACAGCCCUGUUUCGAUGGGGUUUGACGGUACCAAUUGAAUCAGCACCGGCUAACUCCGUGCCAGCAGCCGCGGUAAUACGAAGGGUGCAAGCGUUGUCCGGAAUCAUUGGGUGUAAAGGGUGCGCAGGCUGGCUUUUAAGUCUGGGGUGAAAUCUUGCCGCUUAACGGUAAAAUGGCCCUGGAUACUGAAAGUCUUGAAUCUGACAGAGGUCGGUGGAAUUCGUAGUGUAGCGGUGAAAUGCAUAGAUAUUACGAAGAACAUCAGUGGCGAAGGCGGCCGGCUGGGUCAGUAUUGACGCUCAGGCACGAGAGCGUGGGGAGCGAACAGGAUUAGAUACCCUGGUAGUCCACGCUGUAAACGAUGUAUGCUAGUUGUUGGGCCUAUGGGUUCAGUGACGCAGUUAACGCAGUAAGCAUACCACCUGGGGAGUACGUUCGCAAGAAUGAGACUCCAAGGACUUGACGGGGGCCCGCUCAAGCGGUGGAGCAUGUGGGUUAAUUCGAUUGCACGCGAAGAACCUU